UGAGGAUAAUACUGUUGAAAGAUUUCAUUGUGGUGCCUUUGGACUCCCUGCGUUGCAUGGCUUCUUUGAUCUUGGCUUCUAGCUUUGUCUCUGGUACCCAUUCUUGAGCUUCAGAUUUCGUCACCGCACUUCCCAUGUCUCUCUCGUGCUUCGGAGAUCAAAAUCUAGUUUCUUGUAAGACAAGGAGAAAGAAGAUUCCAUGUUUGAGAAGAAGAAUAUAAUUGAAAUGAGUUUUGUAAUGCCCUGGCCGUGAAGAACGCUGAAGAUUACACGUACUUGCGGAUAUUUAUAAAACGCUUAUUCAUUCGUCAUCAAUUAAUAUUUUAACAUUCUAUUCUUGACUUUCUGAACAUUUUUAAUUUACAAUAAUGAAAUGUUAUUAGUUUGUUGUAAAAAAAAAAAGAAAAAGACAUGUUAUUAGUUUUGACCAAAGAAAUGGUAUUACUUACCACUAAUAUUUAACUAUUAUAUGAUUAAUCUUUUGGCGAAAUUGGAAUUAGUUUAAAACAAUGGUAUUAGUUUUGACCAAAGAAAUGAUAUUACUUACCUCUAAUUUUGACUAUUAACUCGUGUGUUUUUCUAAUUAAUAGGAUUAGCUUAACAUUUACCAUAUAUGAUAAUUAAAUGAUUCAAUUGAUGGAAUUUGGUAUGACAUUAUACAAUCGAUGAUAAAUGAAUUAGUUUAAAACAAUGGUAUUAGUUUUGACCAAAGAAAUGAUAUUACUUACCUCUAAUUUUUGACUAUUAACUCGUGUGUUUUUCUAAUUAAUAGGAUUAGCUUAACAUUUACCAUACAUGAUAAAUGAUUCAAUUGAUGGAAUUUGGUAUGACAUUAUACAAUCGAAGAAGUUUGUUUUCACGUCUUUCUUUUAGAAUAUAUUAAUUUGGACUUAUAAGUACGAUCAUCACUCCUAAGAUGCCAUAACUAGUAAAAUAUGUGUGAGUAUAAAUGAAUAAUGAAAACUCUGAAUCAUAUGUACACACUACAAAUUAAUGCUCUCAUUAGCAUAUUUUUAUCUUUAGAACUGUACCUUGUAAAAAUAAGCUAUAAACAAAAGAUACACAAGUAUUUAUACAUGAAAAAAUUCACUUCCAUACAAACAUAUAGUCACUAAAUGUGUCAAUGAAUGUCCAAAUCAAUAGUAAGCUAAUCAUAGGUGCAUACAUAAGUCGUGUUGUAUGUUUUAUAGUUUUCUCCUAACUUGAAUUUAUUUAAUUAUUAUAUAUAUAACAUGGAAUUUUGAACCUUUAUGCUACAAGAAAUUUAUAGAUCAACUUAGUAAUGAAAAAGUGAAAGAAGAUGUCAGGAUUAAAAAAUAAAAAAAAACACAAAAACAAAACAAUCUCUUCCCCUUUCUAUAAUCAUCACGUUUAAGUAUAAAAGAUCACUUUUGAGGAAUGAAGUAGUUUCUUUGUUUGUUUUAUAUCAUCUUGCUGGGAACAAAUGUUACUCUAAAGUAAACUCUUUCAACUUAUUAGCACUUUGUACAGUUAAAAUAAUUAUCAUAUGGAUUUAUGUUACAAUCUUUAAAUAUUAAAUAUUUCUUUGAUGAUCCAUAUAACAUUCUAAUAUGUAUCACUGCACCCAAUUUAAAUUGUGAACAUUCUUAGCAUUUUACAUCUAAAAAAGAAUCAAUCACAAUACAUAAAUUGUGCACAAAAACACAAUACAUAAAUAUUAGUUAAAAUAUUUUUUAACUUAAAGAUAACAACAAAACAAACUCUGUUGAAUCCCUUCAUUAAUUGUAUUAUUCAUACUUUUAACUGUGAGACCCAAGAGUGUCUAAGCUUGUGGAAUCCACAUGUUUUCGGUGGGUUUUGAAAAUCGAAAAUGGUCUUUAUAGGCAAGACAGUAAUCUUCUUAGUGCUCUUGGGAUUUGUAUGAUUUUGUAAUGCAAUGCAGAUGAUACUCCUUUUAAGGACUGCGUCUUGAUUAACUCUCACAAAUAAAAUUUGACACAAAAAAAGACAAUGAACAGUUAUAUUUUUACAAUUUCAAAUUUACUUAUUUUGCAGAUCUAUAAAGUUUGUCUCCAAUGGAUAUUACACUAGUAGAAAAUACUUUAUCAUAAGUUUGUUUGAAAGUGUUUUCAUCUCAAAAUGGAAGGGAUCUUUUGAAAUGAUUAGAUAUUUGUCUAGUAAGGUAUGUUUUUUCUUUUUAUAGUUUUGGUUGUUUAUAUUUAAUUAUUUAAUUAAUCUUGACGUUUUUUUAACAAUUACAACCGUUUACAUUUUGAAGAAAUUAAUAUCUGAUAUGUUCUUUGUCUUUCCGUUGUUUGGUUUCACCAUAACUCUUUUCUUAAAGUUUUUUAUUUAGUUUUUAACCUUUUGUUUCAUGGAGGUAAAACUAUUUUUCCUUCUGAUAGCAUUAUUGGUGACUCUCUCAUCUUCAAAUUCCUUAUCAAGUAUGUUUUAUGUGUUCUCUAUUUUCCCUCAAAUUUGUUUUAGAGAUAACAGUGAUAAUCUGUUGUGUUUGCUUACUGUAGAUAUUGUGUUCAAAUCUCAAACAUCGAUUAGUGGAAGGAACUUACUUAAUGCCAAAAAACGUAUGUAUAUUGAGAAAACGUUUUGAUCCACUGAAUAUGUUGGUUAGAUCUGAUGAUUUACUGCUAGUUUCUAUUAUAUAUAUAUGUAAGUGUGUAUAUAUAUACUCAUCUACAUCUUUUUGAUAACAUAAGAACAUAGUUAUCGGGUCGAGAAUUCUUAAAAAAAUAAAUUUUAAUAUUUUAAAAUACAUAUUAUUUACAAUAGGACAUGUAUUUCACAAGAUUAGUGUUAUAUAUUCAUUUUGUGACAACUACAAGAGCAAAUUCUCAAAAACUUGUAGUAUUUUUACGAAAAAAUGCUUUCUUUCUCUUUUUAUUUAUAUUUAUUUAUUUAGUCUUGAGAAUUUUGGUGAAAGACCACCAAUGUAGAUGCUCUAACCAAUUUAAAACCAGAGUUAUUAACAAAGAAAAAAGAAUACAAAAGCAAAUAUGCUUUUAGUUGAAUUUGUUUUCAAGAGCUAGUACUUUUAUCACUUUUAAAUGUUAAUGUAUAUUGAAGUCUUUUUGUUUGGUCUAUGUAUAGCUUGGCUUGGUGAGGACUAUGACAUAAAUAGUGAACAUUGUACACUUUUUUUGUUUGUGUUGGGAACAGAAUGUGAAGUGGACUUUGAGAGUAAAAACUACACGGAUCUAACGAGACAGUGUAGAGGUCCGACGUAUCCAGCGACAGAAUGUUGCGCGGCGUUUAAACAGUUUGCAUGCCCUUACGCACAUCAAAUCAACGACUUGAAUACUGACUGUGCCAAGGUAAUGUUCAGCUACAUCACCGUUCAUGGUAACUAUCCACUUGGCCUUUUCGCCAGCGAGUGCAAAGAAACGAAAGUGGGACUCGUUUGCCCUUCUCCACCUCGCGUUUCAGCCGCUCCUCAUUACAUCACGCUGGUGGUCUCUGCCGCAACCGCCGUGUUGGCUUUUCUAGUGUUGGUUUAGCGUGUUAACAAUGAAAAGUAGUAUCAUUCCAACAAAAUAAACUUAUCUUUUGAUUCUGUAACCAUAAAUGUUAACAAGAACUGUGUAAAGCCAAAAGAAAUGAACAGAGUUUGAUAAAAAUAACCAAAAGGGUCAUGUUCAUGUGGGUAUAGCAAUAUCAGAAGACUCUGGUAACAAUUAAGACAUGAACACCGAAACUACUGUUGGAAGCAACACUGACUGUAUAAGGAAACAUGAAGUGAUCUUACAUGCUCUCUUGUUGAUGGUUCCAGUGGUUUCAAGCAUAGACCUUGUUUCUUCAAGCUUGAUUCUCCAGCUUUUCAACGUUGCUCACCAGGGUUAUAAUCUCUGAGAGAGGUGAGCUUAUGUCAUUGGCUCCUUCGUGAUGUUGUGGUAUCGGUUCCUUUCCGAUCUCCCGGAAUUGCUGAAUUGCAUAGGGAGUCGCAUUAGGUUUGAUACGCAUUCAUGUUUAUCAUGUUAUAUAUCGUUUAAACACAUGCGUAUAAAUAUCAAGCCACUGGGCUUGCGGUUUUAUUACUUACAUGUAAGAAAAUGUUGGGGGUGAAUGAUUCAACUACACCUAAAAGGCUAAAAGAAAGGACAUGCAUCAAUAACAAACACAGAAUUACAAGGCCACAACCAUAACACACACUAAUGUCGUUUUUAAUCUUACAUCUGAGAGGGAUUAGGACAAAUGCAAUGGCUACACACUCCAGUACAUAGACAUGUAUAUCAUAAUAAUAA